AGGGACUGACGGCGGCCGGCCGGUAGGAGCGCGGAGCUGCGCUGCGGCGGCCCAGGAGCUGCUGCGGUUCCCGCUGCUCGGGGAGCAGGCGGUGUGUGCGCGGCUGCGAAGGCGAGGUUGAAACUGCACCGCCAAGGCGCGCUCCUGCUGUGUCUGGAGCUCCGGCGUCUCCUCUGCCUCCCAGCUCAGCGCCUCCCACCCUCCUUCCCUCCUCCUCUUCCCAGCUCCCCCGCCCUCUGCUGCUCGCAGCCUCGCCAGAGUGAGAAUCUACUGUAAGUGUGAGUUGCUUCGACGAAGUCACACACCCACGGAGGGAAGUAAUCUGGAGGCUGCCUUGCAAGUCUCAAGGUGACAAUAGUCCUCAGGCAGACAAGAGGGAAUAAGAGUUUGAGAUGAAUGGCUACAGCUGAGAAUAUGCUGAGUUUCGCUCUUGUUGCCCAGGCUGGAGUGCAAUGACGCGAUCUCGGCUCACAGCAACCUCCGCCUCCUGGGUUCAAGCAAUUCUCCUGCCUCAGCCUCCCGAGUAGCUGGGAUUACAGGCAUGCGCCAACAAGCCUGGCUAAUUUUGUAUUUUUAGUAGAGACGGGGUUUCUCCAUGUUGAUCGGGCUGGUCUUGAACUCCGGACUUCAGGAAAUAAGAAGAUAAAAGAACAAGGCCAACAUCACAAUGAGGAAACAAUCACACAUAUUCAGAAUGUUGGACAUUCUCCAAGAUAACCAGGGUGGAAUAAUCAAUGUCUUUUGAAAAAAUGAGCAGACUAUUUCACAUCAGAAAAAGACUAUGAAAGAAUAAAGGAAUAUCAUAGCUGUGGUGCUGAGAACGUAACCUACUCCCAUUGGUUUCCAACAACUGAGACCUUGAACAGUGACUUCGUAGCUGUAAAUCCCAGAAUCUUCUGUUUCAAAUCAAUUCUUCAGGAAAAAGAGGACAAAAUAUAAACCCAAGUGGAGAGAGUGCUAAAAGACACAAGAUUUUUUUUUAGAGAAUUUAUCAAUCUAAUAUGAGCAGUUAAUUAUUUAUGAUGGUUCCUAUGUUUCACAGAGAAGUUAAAGAAAUAAGAUUAGAACCAUCUUAUGGGCUCUGGGUAAGGCUCUGCAAUCUGUCACCAUUUUUGCUUUAUUUAUUAUACCAAGGAGCAUGAAAAAUGUUUGCAAUUUGACUUGAACAUUUUCAUUGUCUUUGCUUUGCUUUUGUUUCUUUCUUUUUAAAAUCCGUGGUUUUUGAAUUUCCUUUUGAAUAUUUGCAUCCUUUUAUGGAAUAUAAGAGACCACUUAUAUGCACAAGAGUUAUCUCUUGUGGGUCUCACUAUUAUUAUCAUCAAAAUGCCUGAAAUUACCUGUGAGGGAACAUUAUAAAGUAAAUGAUAAAGAAAUAAUUUAAUGUUACACAUUAGGUAACCUCUAGGAAUAUAUGCUGGAACCAUAGGAAGACAUUGGGCAUGAAGAACAAUAAAAAUAUUUGGAUUGGAAGUAAAAAUGCUAAUCUACUUGUCAGAAAGGUCAUGUCUACAGUCAACAACUGUUCAAAUAGAAGCUUUAAAGCGAGGCUCAGCACACUUUUCUCUAAAGAGCCAGACAACAAAUAUCUCCGGCUUUGUAGUCCAUAUGGUCGACACUGCAACUACUCGAGUCUGCCAUUGUAGCACGCAAACAGCCAUAGACCAUAUGUGAAUGAAUGGUGUGGCUGUGUUCCAAAAGCCUUAUUUACAAAAACAAGGCAAGUAUUAGACUUCUUCAGAUCUUGGUGUGCUAGUCCUUGCUUUACACAAUUAAGAUGAGUGUGAACUAUAUUUCAAAUAGAAGUGAGAGCCCCAAAGGUGGGCAAACCAUUGUAGUAAGAUAGUCAAAUUGCCUAGGCAGGGACAAUUUAGACAUCUAGACAUUAUAAUUUUGAGUGAGCUAUCAAUUUAUUCAGGCAGGUUUUCUAAGUCUUAGAUUAAAAGGGUAGGUUGGAAUUUAGGGUUAGAUUCUACCCCACUGAGACAAAAUGAUCCAAAUAAAAAGUUCAUAACAAGGAUAGAUAAAGACCGUGGACUUACUAGAACAUACUAAGUACAGCUGCUCAUAGCAACAAGGUUUAUUUCAGAUCUUACCUGUUGGUAGCACCAUAUAUUACUCUAACAUGCUUGCUCAAUUUGCUGUCCCAUGGAAAAAAUAAUUGGUUGAGAACUAGUCAGAAGAGUCUUUGUAACUACUUUAAGGACAAAAGUAAUGUUGCUGUUGUGUCCUCAGAAUAUAUAUAUACAAUAGUGCCUGGAACACAAUAGACAUUUAAUGAUCAUUCCUUGUGUACCUAGAACUUGAUACCUAUUAAAUAUUUUUCUAGUAGAAGUUUGUAAAUUAAUACUACAGGAUUUUUAGCAUUUAUUCUUUUAUAAUAUUAUAUAUAAAAUUUUACUGAUAGACACUGUCUUCCAGUUCUUUAUACUAUCCUUUGCCACUUUAAUUCAAAAGCAUAUUAAAUUAUAUUUUAUAUUAAAAAUUUAAUUCUAAGAGUAAGAAUUACAGUUAUAAAAAUAUCCCAGGUGAUCAAAGAUAUGGAGCUAUUGCCUAAUGACUGACAUUAUAGUAUAGUGGUGAAUACAGAAAUUUAAUUUUUCAUCUCCUCCUGUCACUCCCUCUUAAGACAUUUUAGGGUCACCCUCCAUGAGGUAGCAGAUUCAUUAGCUUCUACUUUAAAUCCUGCCUCAGAGUAGAAAUCAGUCAGCUCUGUUGAGGGAAUUCCUGAGUAGAAAAAAAUGUCUUUCUAGGACAUUAGAGAGCAAUUGAGUAUUUAAAGAGUCAUUCAAAGAAGAACCUUCAGUAAGCAUUAGAGUAAGCAACUUUACCUAUAUUUUUUAAAAAGAAAAGCUGAGUCAACUCAGGCAAAAGAAAUUGAAUAUGUCAUUUUAAAGAGUCUCAAUAUAACAGAAUUGAAACGUGUCACUAAUCCACCUUGCCAGCUUAUACAGCUUUUGAGAGUGAAAGACUCUUAGUAAUGACAUUAAUUAUUAUUAAAUGUUAGUAGCUCAGUGUUGUAGAGAAUAUAAACAGCAGUAUUUAUAGACUCUUGGUAAAAUGUAUUUUAACUUUUUAAAGACAUUGCAGAGUUGGCUAUCUUCUCUAACACAACAUAUUGUAGAAUUCUCAUUUAAUAUUUUGUAGAACUAGCUAGAGCAACUAUUCUUUCUUAAGUGGCACAUGUUCAUUUUCUGUAUUUUCCUCAUCUUUACCACCUGCUAGCAGUGUUUCAGGCAACAAAACAGCAGUGUUCUCACCAGACAGUAUAGCCUCCUCCAAAAUGGUAGCAAUCCCAAAGAUUCACAAUAAAACAAAACCUUUAAGACUAUGAUAAAUGGUUUUUAUUUCUUUUUUAAAAACAGUUCUUCCUUUAUUCUUUAAUCUUUAAACACUGAGUUGAAAUGGAUGAUUGAAAAUCUUAUUUGGGGUAUAUUGUUGUACAUAUAAGAGUGUAAAUUUUAAGAGCUGAAUUAAAUUUCUCAGUCUACCUUUUCUUUCAGUUUAUUUUUAAUGAUAUAUAUUUGUAGAAGCAGUUAUCUGCCAUCUGGAAAUUAAUUCUCAUUUUCUUGGAUUAUUUUAUGGUGACUGCUUUCUAAGUAUUUUAUCCUUUAGUGAACAAAUGGUCUUUCUUUCCAGUUAGAAGGUGAUCCUCAAUAAUUAUGUUCUUUUCUUUAACCAAAACCUUGUUUCAAUUAUGACAUUUUGUUGAUAUGUAAAAAUUCUGAAGAAAUAAAAGCAAAAAAUAUUGAAUAAUAAUUUUGUUUAAACAACAUAUUUAGAAUAUUGAAUGACCCUGUUUAAACAAUAUAUUUAGAAUGACUUAUUGGUAGAAAAUGUCUUCAUGAAUUUUUCAAUGGUUGAUUUUUAUAUGUAUUGUACAUUUUGUAUCUUAAAGGAACAUUAAACUUUAAAUACAAUUAAGAGAGAGGAAAAGGAAAUGUUUUAAUCAAAAUAUAAAAUCAUUUAUUUUAAAUUGCUUCCUAUAGUAGUAAGAAAAUCAAUAAAAUUAAUGAUUAAACAGUUCAGAAGAACUAAACAUUAUUAAUAUCCAUUUAUAAGAAGGAAAUGUGAUGACAGAUUAGGCUGAGUAGGAUGUUAUUCACUUACAAUUUUAAAAAUAAAACUGUGUAGGUGGGCUUUGUUAUUUUACACCAAUUGCACUAAAAUGAAGUAGAGACUUGAAUGGCUAACAAUGUAAAAAAUUACGUGAUAGUGCUUUUGUAUUUUUGAAAUGAGAAAUAGUCAGAAAAAAUAUUUACAAGAGCAACCUUUAGAGUGUCCCAAUAUACAUUUAUGAGUUAUCACGCUAAUUUGCAAAAUGUAAGAAAAAAUUACAAAAUAGACGACAUAGUUUACCUGAUAAAUGUUCAAUUUAAUUGAAUAAAUUCAUUUAAGCACUUCUGAAAGAUAUUGUGUUAAGUUUUGAGUAUAUAAAAGUAAAUUUUAAAAUGCCUGACUUCAAGGAAUUCACAAUAUGUUAUGAAGAUAGACAAGUUAAACCAACUAUUUCAAUAAAGUGUGAUCAAUUUCCUAAAUAAAAGAAUAAAAUAUCUUAAAAAUCCAGAAAAGUGGUGGCCCAAAGUCAGCUUAUGGUAGUAGUGAAAAAGUUUGGGAAAAUUUUCUAAAGAAAAUCAACUGAAUAAAGUAUUAAAGAGUAAAUGACAUUAAUUCAAGCAAACAGGUUAGGCAGAAAUAUUCUAGUCCAUACCAAAAAAUGUUUCCCAACUAAAUGCAGGCAUAUAUAGAUCUACAAAAUCAUACAUGUAGCAUGUAGGUUUUUUUAAAAAAAGACAGAUGGUUAGCACCACCAAUAUUAACCUGUGGUGUAUGUCUUUCACAAGAUUUUUGAAAUGAGGAGCACUCAACAGAUGUGGGAGAUAAGGAAAUAAUUGUGAGAUAUUACUGACAAAUGAGGAUUGUUACUUAUUUUUUUAAUCUACUCUGUUAACUUCCCAAAAUUAUGUAAUAUAUUUUACAUAGAAAUAAAUACUUUAA